rnacentral:tRNA from 1 species
CGGGUAUAGUUCGUUUAGCGGUAAAACCAAGCUAAUGAUGCGUUCUCGCUACCCGCUCUACCCC